rnacentral:tRNA from 1 species
GCCGCUAUGGUGAAAUCAGGCUAGACACAUCGAACUUAAGAUUCGACGGUAGUAAUAUCAUCUGGGUUCGAAUCCCAGUAGCGGCACCA